rnacentral:lncRNA from 1 species
AUUGAACCCAGUGCCUCGCACAUGCUAGGUGAGUGCUUUACCACUCAGCCCCAGUCCCAGCCCCAAUAUAUGACCUUUUGUGUCUGGUUUCUUUCACAGCAUGUUUUCAAAGUUAACCUGUGCUAUAACAUGUAUCAAUACUUCUUUUUGCUUCAUUUUUUUUUCCUUUCUGUGUGUGUGUAUGAGAGAGAUGUAUAUAACACAGUAUGUAUAGAGUCACUACUUACGUCUACAGUGUUGUACAACUAGCACAGGAUAUUUUCAAAACUUUCAUUGCAUAAAAUGGAAACUAUAACCAUUAGGCCUCUCAUGACCUCUAAUUUACUUUUGGUCUCUGAAUUUACCUGUUGAGGGUAACACUCAUGUAAGGGGAAUCAAACAUUUAUCCUUUUGUAUCUGCCUGCCUUAACUUAGCAUAAUGUCUUCAAAGUUUACCCAUGUUGAGAAUAUAAUAGGAUUCCAUUCCUUUCUAUGGCUCAGUAAUAUUCCAUUGUGAGGAUAGAACACAUUGUGUUUAUCCAUCAGUGCGUGAACAGUUGCUUUGUAUCCAUUUUUUGGCUAUUUAUAACUGCUGCCAAAACAUUCAUGUACAAAUUUUUAUAUGGACAUGUUAAUUUCUCUUUGAUUAUGACCCUAGGAGUGGAAUUGCUGAGUCAUAACUAUGUUUGACUUUCUUAAGAACUGCC